AGCAUCAAUCAGAGAUUUAGCUUCUGGGAUUCGACCCAUACGCAUCAAGCAGAUGGCCAGGUUGCACUGUUUGUUUUUGUCUGGCUCCAAACACAAAGCUCUCCUAUUCAUAGAUACAUAAGUGCAUAUAAGGAAAAGACUCGCAAGGGCAAACACAAACUAACAAGAACCAAACCUUGUAAAGCAUUGAGUUGUACUAUCAACAAUAUCUUAAAACCCAGAUUUAUAAGAGGUUAUAAUUUUUUAAAAUACAAUGUUCACUAUCCGAAAAUAUUUCUCCUAACCAGAACUAUUCAAAUGACAAGUCUAAAUCAACCUUAUUUGUUUUUUGAAUAACAGAGGAACGAAAAUCCUAAAAUUACUUGAACCCAGAUUUAUAAAGGUUUAUAAUUUUUUGAAAACUCAAUGUUCACUAUCGAAACUCUUUCUCUUAGAUCGACCUGUUGUAAACCAACCUUCGUUGAUUUUUUUUUUAUAACAGAAAGAACAAAUCCAAAAUAUUACUUGAAUCGAACAAAAAAAAUACACAAAUUAGAAACAUACCAGUGUGAAUCGUGGAGAGGAGCCAACAUCUCUGAGGUUUUGAAUCGUGAUUCUCGUAAUUGCUUAUCGCUAGAUGCGUGAGAGAGAGUGAUGAUGGAACUCAACGGAGACGACGAUGGAUCUCGUCGGAGAUGACGACAGAUCUCAACGGAGAGAGAAGAACGAUCUCCACAGGGAGAGAGACGAUGGAUCUCGGAAAGAGAGACGGUGGAUCUGACGGAGAGAGAGACGGUGGAUCCGAAAGGAGAGAGAAGAAGGAUCACGACAGUGGAGAAGAAAGAGACGAUAGAUUGAAGUAAAGAUAAGGUUAGUUUAGUCUUUUACCAAUUAAUAAAUGUGCUAUUUAUGAAAAUGUCCUUUGAGUGGUGGUAUAAGUGAAAAGUGGUAUCAUGUAAAGUGUAUAAGUAAAAUUUCCCCUAAAAUUAUAUAUGUAUAUAUAUAAACAUAAUUAAAAUUCAAAAUCAUAUCAAAAAUAUAUAGCAGGAUUUGUAAAUAUAUUAAAAAAAAAUUCUUAUAGUAUAACCUUUUAGUGGUUGACAAACGAUCAUGCCGAGAAUUAGAAUCAACAAAAAUAAAGUAUAUUGGUUAUAAUUGAGAAGUCCGUGCUAAUUCUAUGAUUGAAUAUCCUUUGACAUCGAGAAAAAUGUUACAAUAUCACAAUUUGUGUUUACUAUAUUUACAAAUCCAGUUAUAUAUUUUUGAUAUGAUUUUGAAUGGGAAAAUUUUACUUUUACACUUUGUUGGAUACCACUUUUCAACUUUACCAUCAGUCUAAGGACAUUUUCAGAAAUACACACUUUCAUUAAUGAGCAAAAGACAAUAACACCCUUACCUUAUCUUCUUCUCCACUAUUGGUUUCUCUCCCUGUCCUCGAGUCACCGUCAUCUCUCUCUCACCGUCGUCUCUCUCUCUCACCGUCGAUUUCCGGCGCCUCUCUCACCGCCUAGUUCUGGUGUCUCUCUCACCGUCGAUCUCUCUCUCACCAUCGAUCUCUCUCUCACCGUCGACUUCCGGUGACGAAAUCGAUUCAAAAUCUCCAAGAUGUCAACUCAUAUACGUGAUUCACAACUUAUGUCUCUAAUUUCUGUAUUUUUGUUUGAUUCGAUUUUGUGCUUUCUCUUAUCGAAAAAUCAAACAAGGUUCUCUUAGAUAUCUCAUUUAAAGAGGUCGAUCUAAGAGAAACAGAUUUGAUAGUGAAACGUUGAGAGUGAAAACAUUGAGUAUUUGAAAACUUAAAUCUGGUUUUGAAAUCAUAUUAAGAUUGAUCUGAAUGGUUCCGGCUAAGAAAAGAGAUUUUCCGAUAGUGAAAACUGCAUAUUAAGGAAGAGAUAAUUUCCGAUAGUAAAAACUGAAUAUUAAGGAAUUAUAACCCCUUAUAAAUCUGGGUUUCAUGAGAUUGUUGAUAAAUACAACUCAAUGAUUUAUAAGGAAUUAUAACCCUUUAUAAAUCUGGGUUUCUACCAGGAAACCUCUUCUGCAGAUCUGUUAUGUCUACAUAGGGACUCAACAAGGGCUUCGACAAUUACUGAAGUGUUGGAGGUGGAGGAGAAAAAUAAUGUGAGUUUUUACUAAAGUUUAUAAAUAUAUUUGUACUGUAUUGUUUAGAAAGAGGUUUAUAAACAUACUCCUUGAAAAAGGGUUACAAGCAGACGCCUUGGUAAAAAAUGUGAAGCGUUUAAGACAUUUUAGAAUAUUUUUCAUUUUGUACUUUUUCUGUAACACGUUGCUUGCAUCAUUCACACACUAGCCCUUAACAUUCACAUUAGAUUAUUGAGAAUGGUUGCUCUGUUUCUUCUUGGCUUGUGUUUUGUGUGUUAACUCGCAUGUUUCACUUGUCUUAACACCUUGCUUAUGUCAUGCCCUCAUUAGCUCCUGCCAUUUACAUGAGAUUACUAAGUUAACUAUAUUGUUUCAUAAUGGUUUAUAAAUAAGAGAUUUACAGAGACUUAUAAAACGUUGUUUUAUCUUUGUUACAGGGUGUGGUUACUACAGUGUUUGGAUACUCUGAGGAAUUCAAACAUUUGGUGAACCCAACACAUCCUCAUGAUAAGGACUUUGACAGUGUUAUACAACUAGUUCAACAAGGAUACAAUGUGUAGAAAAUCGAUUGGGAACAAGGAUUUGUGGAUGUUUUCUUACAACAGAAGACAUUGGUCGACAAAGCAGGACAGAAGACAAAGAUGUACAGCAAAACCUCUAAGGAGCAAACACAAUAUCAAGAAGAACAACAAGUUGAAGCUGAUGCUGAAUUCGGUGACGGUGAUAAAGAAAGAGAAACAUCAAAAAUCAAUGAAGGUUGAGGAAGAAUAAGAAGAAAAAAUGGAAGCUGAUACAGAAGUUGAGGAGUCCGUGCAAGCUGAAAGGCAGAAAUGAAGAAGAGGAAAUAAGGAACAAGAGCAUAAGAAGAAUAAAGAGAAAAGAAAAGAUGAAGCGUAUGAGAAAGCUAAGGAGAAAUUUCAAGAUGAAGAUGGUUCCAAACUCGAUAAGUUAAUCCAAAUGCUUUAUGAUUUGAAUAAACGAGUAGAAGUAAUCGAGAAUGUCUUAGGAGUGGCAGACGGUUAUGAGAGUCCAUGCAACUAUGAUGAUACAAAAGGUGCACCAAAUGAUGAAAAUGAAGAAGAAGAAAAUUCUGGUGGUAAAAGAAAUGCAACAGGUGAUGAAAAUGAUGAAGAAGGAAUUUCUGAUACACAGAAACUAACGGAAGUGAAUAUUCUUAGGGAAAAUGAGAAUACAGAGAAAAUCACUCCAGACGAAGACACUGAAAAAAAGU